rnacentral:rRNA from 1 species
CAGCAGCCGCGGGAACACGUAGGUGGCAAGCGUUGUCCGGAAUUAUUGGGCGUAAAGGGCUCGCAGGCGGUUUCUUAAGUCUGAUGUGAAAGCCCCCGGCUCAACCGGGGAGGGUCAUUGGAAACUGGGAAACUUGAGUGCAGAAGAGGAGAGUGGAAUUCCACGUGUAGCGGUGAAAUGCGUAGAGAUGUGGAGGAACACCAGUGGCGAAGGCGACUCUCUGGUCUGUAACUGACGCUGAGGAGCGAAAGCGUGGGGAGCGAACAGGAUUAGAUACCCGGGUAGUCCCUGUCUCUUAUAC